UACGUAGGUGGCAAGCGUUGUCCGGAUUUACUGGGCGUAAAGAGCGCGCAGGCGGUUGUUUAAGUCGGAUGUGAAAGCCCCCGGCUCAACUGGGGAGGGUCAUUCGAUACUGAUCGACUUGAAGGCAGGAGAGGGAAGUGGAAUUCCGGGUGUAGUGGUGAAAUGCGUAGAUAUCCGGAGGAACACCAGUGGCGAAGGCGACUUCCUGGCCUGUUCUUGACGCUGAGGCGCGAAAGCUGGGGGAGCAAACGGG
rnacentral:rRNA from 1 species